UAUUUAUCACCCACUAAUCAUUGCUGACAAUAAAAACAAAUUCUUUUAGCCCCACAUUGCAAAACCCAACAAGUGGAAGCCAACACUUAACUUUGUUAUCCAAUUCCACAUUUCCACAUCAUCACCCUAAUUGACAAUUAUUAACCCUACACAAAAAGAAUCUCAUAAUACCACCACCACCACUAAGGCCAUAUACAUAGUAUAUUAAACCAUACACUGCCUUUGUAAGAAAAGUUUCUG
rnacentral:misc_RNA from 1 species